AAGAUGUUCCAUAAUCGAUGAAGAGCAUGAGCAAGCAUACUCCAUGGGAUUUAAAUCUUCAAAUUUCUUUAAAGGUGAAUCUAGCUCAAGUUCUGGGUUGCAUCAGCCACAACAUGAGAAAGAAGUGGAAGAGUUCAAUCCAAGUACAAAUGAUUUCAACCCAAGCACCAAUGAAUAUAGUAGAUUUAGUUCUGAUUUGAAUGAAAUCCUCAAUAUUAAAAUCGGAUCAACAAGGGAUGUGAGAGGAACAACUAUGCUGAGCCCUGCUGACAACGAUGGGGUAAAACUGAAAGGAUGUCACCGCGUAAUUUUAUGAUGAAGAUUAACCAUAACCUAAACUAUUCAAAUUUGUAAUGAGGGGCGAAGCCUAUAUCUUGUACUACUUUCAGUUUUAUGAAUGUAUUGGUUAAUUUGGAUCUCAAGUUCUGACCCUAAUCCAUCUUAUUUAGCUC